rnacentral:rRNA from 1 species
AACGUAGGUGGCGAGCGUUAUCCGGAUUUACUGGGCGUAAAGCGUGCGCAGGCGGUUCGUUGUGUCGGUGGUGAAAUCCCCGGGCUUAACCUGGGAAUGGCCAUGGAAACUGGCGAACUGGAGUGCGGCAGAGGGGGGUGGAAUUCCGCGUGUAGCAGUGAAAUGCGUAGAGAUGCGGAGGAACACCGAUGGCGAAGGCAGCCCCCUGGGCUAGCACUGACGCUCAGGCACGAAAGCGUGGGGAGCAAACAGG